CAGGGAGGGUGAGCGGAGCAGAGCAGAACGGAGCAGGCGACACCCUCCCGUCCUUGGCCUGCGGUGACCGGCCUCCUCGGCCUGUGUGUGUGCACCGUUGGAGUAUGGAGUGUCGUAUCCGGCCCGGGCAGCAUCUGCACGCCAGCAAGAGCAAUGGAUUUGGCAGGAUGGUAUGGAGAAGAGGAAGAAUGCCAGACUCCAGGCCAGAUGGCUGCCAGUUGAAGCCUUCCCGUCACCAGUGCUUCUGCACAGCUCUCCAUUUGUUUCCAUGAAGUUUGUGCAAGAGAACUUCCUCGUUGAGCAUGCCAGAAAGGAGCCAGUGUAACAGAUUCCCUGAAGGCCAAAAGCAGUGACAAUACAGGUCAGCAUCA